AUAUAUUAUCUAAAUCUAAUAACCAUUGUAGUAGUUUGCUUUAUGCCAUAAAAAUAUACCAUAGACUGGAGGCUCAAACAAUAUGAAUUGAUUUUCUCACAGUUCUGAAUGCUGGAAGUCCAACAUCAAGGUGUAAGCAGGGUUGGUUUCUCCCUACACCUUUCUCCUUGGCUUAUUGAUUGCCACCUUACUGCUGUAUCCUCAUGUGGUCUUCCCUCUAACUGUGUGGCAGGUUUCAUUACACUGUGGUAAAAGAUAGUGAAUAUAAAAUCUCUUUCUAGGCUGACUGUCAUGCAAAACCCAAAGCAUUUUGGAGAGGACCAAUUUUAAUCUGUCUUUUCACAAAGAUUUAUGCCAUCAUCAGUUUUAUAUAAAGAAA